CAGACGGAAACGACUGCUAAUACCGAAUAAGUUCCAAGAGCCGCAUGGCCCAUGGAAGAAAAGGUGGCCUCUACCUGUAAGCUAUCGCCUGAAGAGGGGUUUGCGUCUGAUUAGCUGGUUGGAGGGGUAACGGCCCACCAAGGCGACGAUCNGUAGCCGGUCUGAGAGGAUGAACGGCCACACUGGAACUGAGACACGGUCCAGACUCCUACGGGAGGCAGCAUG
rnacentral:rRNA from 1 species